AGAAUCAACGCUGGCGGCGUGCCUAACACAUGCAAGUCGAACGAGAAAGUGGAGCAAUCCAUGAGUACAGUGGCGCACGGGUGAGUAACACGUGACUAACCUACCCUUGAGUGGGGAAUAACCUGGAGAAAUCUAGGCUAAUACCGCAUAACACCUACGGGUCAAAGGAGCAAUUCGCUUAAGGAGGGGGUCGCGGCAGAUUAGCUAGUUGGCGGGGUAAUGGCCCACCAAGGCAGUGAUCUGUAU
rnacentral:rRNA from 1 species